rnacentral:rRNA from 1 species
GGUACCCUAACCGAAGAAGUCCCGGCUAACUUCGUGCCAGCAGCCGCGGUAAUACGAAGGGGGCUAGCGUUACUCCGGAAUUAUUGGGCGUAAAGCGUGCGUAGGCUGCUUAGUAAGUCAAAAGUGAAAGCCUUGGGCUCAACCUAAGAAUUGCUUUUGAAACUACUAAGCUUGAGUACUGUAGGGGGUAGCGGAACUCCUAGUGUAGGGGUGAAAUUCGUAGAUAUUAGGAGGAACACCGGAUGCGAAAGCGGUUAUCUGGACAGUCACUGACGCUGUUGCACGAAAGCGUGGGGAGCAAACAGGAUUAGAUACCCUGGUAGUCCACGCUGUAACGAAUUAGAGUGCUAA